GGUGCUGUGGCUUAGUUGGUCAAAGUGCCUGUCUAGUAAACAGGAAAUCCUGGGUUCAAAUCCCAGCAGUGCCU
rnacentral:tRNA from 1 species